rnacentral:rRNA from 1 species
UACGUAGGACCCGAGCGUUGUCCGGAUUUACUGGGUAUAAAGGGUGCGCAGGCGGGCUUGUGCGUCAGGGGUUAAAGACCUCGGCUUAACCGAGGGAGUGCCUUUGAUACGGCAGGUCUUGAAUGUGAGAGAGGAUGAUAGAAUUCCUGGUGUAGCGGUGGAAUGCGUAGAUAUCAGGAGGAAUACCAUUGGCGAAGGCGGUCAUCUGGCUCAUUAUUGACGCUUAGGCACGAAAGCGUGGGGAUCAAACAGGAUUAGAUACCCUGGUAGUCCACGCCCUAAACGAUGUAUGCUUGGUGUUGGGUAUUAAUAUUCAGUGCCGUAGGAAAUCUGUUAAGCAUACCACCUGGGGAGUACGAUCGCAAGGUUGAAACUCAAAGGAAUUGACGGGGGCCCGCACAAGCGGUGGAUCAUGUGGUUUAAUUCGAUGCAACGCGAAGAACCUUACCAGGGCUCGAAUUGUAGCGGAAUGUGGGUGAAAGCCUACAGCCUUCGGGCCGCUAUAGAGGUGCUGCAUGGCU